GACGUAGGGCGCGAGCGUUGUCCGGAUUUAUUGGGCGUAAAGAGCUCGUAGGCGGCUUGUCGCGUCGAAUGUGAAAACUCGGGGGCUCAACCCCGGACUUGCAGUGGGUACGGGCAGACUAGAGUGUGGUAGGGGAGACUGGAAUUCCUGGUGUGAGCGGUGGAAUGCGCAGAUAUCAGGAGGAACACCGAGUGGCGAAGGCAGGUCUCUGGGCCAC
rnacentral:rRNA from 1 species